ACACGGGGGGCGCAAGCGUUAUUCGGAAUUAUGGGGCGUAAAGGGCGUGUAGGCGGUUUUAUCGGUCAGAUGUGAAAGCCCAGGGCUCAACCCUGGACGUGCAUUUGAAACAGUAAGACUUGAGUACGGUAGAGGAAAGCGGAAUUCCUGGUGUAGAGGUGAAAUUCGUAGAUAUCAGGAGGAACACCGAUGGCGAAGGCAGCUUUCUGGACCGAAACUGACGCUGAUGCGCGAAGGCGUGGGUAGCGAACAGGAUUAGAAACCCCAGUAGUCC
rnacentral:rRNA from 1 species